CAGUGAUCCCAAUGUUAUUAAUAGGGAAUAAAGAUAAAUAUAUAGGAAGGCUGGUAUUUUUUUCUAAAAAAGGUGGCAACCCUAGCUGUGACAAUGGAAAGGUUGGCCCCUCGUAUGGUGUUUGUUCAGAAAUACCGUGCGAGUGUGAUGUUUGAGACCCUAAUAUGACAGUAUUAUAUCCAUAAACAGGCCAACCCAUUAAUUCUUUUAGUUGCAGCUGUCCUUCAUGAGAUCCCCAAUCCAACAGGCAGUGAUGUAAAGGAGCCAGACCCACUGCCAAAAACAUUUCUGGCCCUUAUCAAGCCUGACCUGCACCCCAGCGCUCUCUUUCCGAUGCAAGUAGGUGGGCUGACUUUGCGGGUAGUAGCUAGAGUUGCCACCUGAUUGGUAUUUUACCAUCCUUGAUGGCAAAAAUAAUGCUUGAUUCUAAUGUUAUUAAAGGAGAAUAAAAUGUACUCAAAGGGCUCAAAUUACAGCAGGGAGGGGAAGAGGAGCAAACUGAGCAUGCUCAAGCCCUGCCCUGGAGGUUUACUCUGACUUUCCCUUUAAUUUGCUCUAACGCUCAGAUGCAGUGGUAGAUUAGCAUAAAUGCAACCUAGACGGUCACCCGGGCCUAUGGUUUCUAGGGCCUUGGAGAGGGAGCAGAGCUGGGGAAAAUUAAAUUAAGGGGGGGCAUGGCACUGACCAGGGACUUCUGGGGCUGGACAUCACAAGGGAUUUCUGGGAAAGCAGUAAAGGUGGCAGUGCAGCAGUUAAUGGUAUACUACCCAUGGGGCUGGUCCUUUAAUUGUAAUCCUGGAGUAAUAACGUAACCCACUGAUGUCAUAUAGAUGAAGAUCAUCCCAUUAUAUAGUUUAAUAAGGGAUUAAGCAUUAUAAAUACCGUUUAUUUUUAUUGGCUGUAUGGCUGGACAUGAUGAGCCUUUGUGUUCUGUAACUUGUUGAAUGCAAACUCCUAAACCUGGAAGUAACAUUCAGGUAAGUUAGACUUUGAUAUUUAAAUGAUAGCGAAUGAGGAAACAUCUCCGCCCUGGUAGAGCACGUUUGGCCCUAGUGGUACCAUCUUACGUUGGGAUGUGUAGGCUCUGUUGAUCCGUUUCUGUGUGCCCUCCUCCACUUGAUCCCUACAGGAAUAACUAAAUGGUCUCUUGUUACCUCUAGGUUCCUCGUAAAUACGUAAAGACGCAUCCACCCAUGUCUGGGUUAUGCCACCGCUCUUCAUUGUGUGUUUGAGGAGAAGCAAAGACGUUAGGCUAGUUGGCCUUAUAUGCAGGCUUUGGUUUUAAAACCUCUGAAUGACCCUUCCCAGCACCUGUAGACGGGCAAAGGCUGUUACUGAACGUCGCAUUUCAUCCAUAGCUGGAGGGCCACAGGCAUGUCGUUUCCUCGUUUAUUGUACAGCAGAACCUGCUCUGUCAGAUUACAAGGCAAUUGAGAAGGUGAAAUUGGGGAAAAGGAAAGGAGACAUUGAUAGAUUGUUGUCCAAGAAAGAGAUGAAAUGGAUACUUUUGCUGGAAACAGUAACACCAAGAGGGCUAAAUAAGGAACGUGACAUUAAAUCUGGUGUAGAUUGAAUUUAUGUAAGAAAAAGAGCUAAAAAUUCGAAAAAUUUAAAACAAUAAGUAAAGAAUACAUGAGGAAUAGUAUAUAAGUGCGAAUAGUAAAAAAGUAAAAAUAUAUCAGAAAAAUUGCUGCAGAAUAUGAUUAGCAUACUCCAUACUUAACCCCUGAAUAAUGUAAUAUCAACAUCUAAAUUAUUGUUAUUAUCAUUAUUAAUAUUGGAUCAAUGUUUACGCCAAUUACUGAGUCAUCUUUUAUAGCUUUUAUAUAUUUAUGCUGUAGCAAAUAUAUUAUUAUGCAUACAUUGAAAGAAUAUAUAUAUACUAAUUGAUAUUGUUUUUUUAAAGUAAGAUCUAAUCAACAUGUUUGUUGUUUUUUAUUCAUUGGAAUGAAUAUACAAACGAUCAAUUGGUCUAUACUAUUGGUGGGGAACACCAUCAAGUAUUUAUUAUAUAUAUAUCAGGAUGAAUUUAACAAACAACACUGUUAAUAAGCAGCACGAAUGUAUAGAGACACAUGGAUUGAUUAUUUAUUUACUAUAUCACAAGAGACUGAUGAAUUUAUUGGAUGUACUCUUUUAAUUGAUAUGCAAAUGUUUUAAUUGACACCUAUCACCCAAUCUAUUUAAUCUAAGUUACACGUGUGUAACACUGAACUCCGAGGAAGUGCCAUAAGGGCACGAAACGCGUUAGUUUCUGCUCAUGUAUAUCGCACUGUGUUUUUGAAUAAAAGACGUAUUCUUAAACAGCGACUCUCUUCGAUACUUGGAUCAGCGCCGGAUAGCGGGUUCAAUUCUAUUAUAUGCAUGCCGGACGGAAGUGACUGGGUCCCGCGAGAGCCGCGAUCCACGGGGAGAUGCUGCACAGCUAAGGUGCAAAUCAUCCAAGCCUCCGGCAUCUGCCUGUCAAUAACCAUCGUCCUGCUUAUUUCAAAGCAGCUGAAGAAUGCGGUCUGCUGAGAUUCUCCCUGUUCAUAACCGGCGUAGCCUCGGAAAGGAAAGCGACUGGAAAAAGUUCCUCUGCGCAUGAAAACCGCAGCGAGCGAUCCGCUGAGUUCUGCUUUUGUGGUUAUUCCCCCCCCCCCGAUGUUGAAAUCACUUCCAUGCAAGAUGACGGAUUCACUUGCACGGGUUUGGUCUUCUCCAUAUUGUGCAAAACAAAACCAAAAUAUCUCCCUAAAAGCUAUAUUUUACAUGUGACCAAGAAAUGUGUUUUUUUUUUUAGGUGGGUGGGGUGGCCGGCUGCGCAGUUCCGAUUCAAUACAAAAACAUCUAACUUUAGUUAUUCACCUUUCCAUUAACCAUUAGUAUGAUGUAGAGAAGGAUAUUCUGAGACAAUUUGCAAUUGGUUUUCAUUUUUUAUUAUUUGUGGUUUUUGACUU